UACACAUAUCUGAAACCACGUAAUAACAGUAAAGUCCAUAUAAUAAAGUCCUGUCAAUUGCUGUGUGUCUUUCUCCACACCUGGAACCGCUUCCAUCCUGAAUCUUGCUCCUUCACAGGGGCCAGCACUGGGAAGCCCCUCACCCCAAAACUCACCAUCUCUGGUGAGUGGCAGCAUGAAGAAAGAGAGGUUACUGGCUUAGAUGGUGACUAUGUUUACACCUUGACACAUCAGAACUAUCUGAUCUUAAAGCUUAUCCUAUCUAAGGUAUUGCAUGGGCUGUUUGUGUAAAUGUCUGCAUGGUAUUGUUAGAAAACUAUCUGAAGUUCUGUUUCUGCUUCACUGGAGCAGGAAAGCUGCAGGCUAUGAGCACUCCAGGAAUGAUAUAAACAUGUCCUUCAUACUUCCAUAUUUUCAACUUUUAACAGCACUGUGACAUGUCACCUUUUGAUCUCUGUGCUGCCACACAGGCUUCCCUCCCUGCCCCUUGAAAAGCUUUUUCUAACUGCAGCUGAGACCUUGGCUCCAACAACAAGCAUGAGACCUGUAAGGUUUCUCCUACUUUGUGAGAGGAGACAAUGCUAUAAGAGAGCAUGUAAGGGAUACUGCCUUGGUUCAUAGCAGUUACAUAAAGGAGGAGGAAUGAGGAGGAACCAUGUUACCAGGCAGCACCUGCAACAGGUAGAGCUCCUAUUUGUACUAUAACUCUUUCCACACUGGCCAAGUGGUCUUUCAGCUGCUGAGCCUGUGCUCCAAACAGAGUUUCUUUGAAAAUGAGCAAAGUUCAGCUCAAGCCUAAAAAUCCCAAACAGCAUGGAUUGUCUAAGUCUGAAAGUGCUCAAUGUGUGAGACAUGACAGGUCACACUGUACUUCAGUCAAGUCUUGGAUCAUUGCACUUGACUUCCAGCUUAUUACCAAGGGUGUCUCUGACUAAGAGGAGCAUAAUUUCCUUAUCACCACAUGUGGUAUCAUUGGAAAUUGGAUUUCCCGUUCCAUCAGCAACACUUCGCAGUCUCAAAGGAGAGGAUUGUCUUUAUAUUUUAGUGUCUCUUGCAAUACAGAGUUCCCUCUUUCUUUUACAGAGGGUGUACAGCAAAGGUGUCAGCAAAUUGCAAAAGGGCUGUCUGUGGGUGUGGUUUCAGUAAGCCCCCUUGAUAAACAUGGAACCCUUCCUAGACACUUCUCUGCAGCCAAAGAUUUAAAUAUUCAAAUAAAUAUAUUUAAUGACUCAACGAUGUUCUCCUUCAUUGGUGUGAAUUUUCCUUUACUCACCAGAGAGAGCUGAGAGAAGAGCCAAGUGGCUCGAAUCAUGAUAACCAUGUUGCCAGUAAAAGGCGAUCUGUAUGUUUUGAUUGGCAAAGGCACUAAGGAACGUACCAGCUGUGAAUUAUUUCUUCUCCCUGAAUAAAGGGGUUUGCAGGACAACUAAAAAUAAAGUCAAAUUAUCUUGGGCUGAUAAUGAUAAGGAAGUUGAGGAAAGUCCAGAAUUAUCUCCACCACGAUGUUUAAAAUUAUGCACAAUUACCAUCUAUAGUCAAGCUACAGACUGCUCUACACAUCUCUGAGGAAGAGGGAGUGGAUGAACUUGAAUGAGGACAACGACUCAGGAAAACCUACAUCCAUUCUCCUGACGUAGCCAAUAUUAGAUUUUCUAAAGAAGACUGUGUAUGUGGGGGAAAGCUGUGAAUUAGCACUCUUCGUAAACUAUGGAAAAUCUUAGUCAAGGCAGGGAAGUUGGAGAUGCAAAGAUCUUGUUAAUCCAUCUUAUUCAGAUUUAUCACUCCAGAAGGGCUCUCUUGUGAUAUUUUCUAGUGGUUCAUCUAGCCUCACUUCAGUUCAUAUCUACAAGGUUAUUACUUUCUCUUGCUUUUUAGGAAUAGUGAUUAUGCAAAAUGGGAAUCCAGGCUUAACUACUAAGAAUUGGCAUCAGAAUGCAUAGAUAAACAGAGAAGGUCAUUAAACCGUUCUUCUUCUGAUGCCAUGGGGUGAUAACCACUGAGAGAAGGUUGGCCAGAAACUGUGAGGGGCCCAGAAGUGAACUGCUGCUAUGCAGUGGCCAACCUGUGGCCAGCUGUUGUCUAGGUGAUGCUGUCUGUAUUGAGGCACAGCUGAAAGGAAGAGAGGAUCCCAGAAAAAAAUAUGAUACUUUUUACUUUCACUGGCAGGAGAAUGCCUUACACAUAAACCAUGAGAAAGGCUUUGUUAAAACAGAAAACCCUAUGUAUUUUUCAGGUCAAGCUACCAUGUAAACCAUAACAGAAUUUCUUGCAGGUAUUUCCAUUUCAGGCUUUUGGGUGAAGCAGGAGAAACUUUACAGAUCUCCAGGUCUAAAUGAUGCUGGUGCCAUGAGUUCAGAAGAAUCUCAAACAUAAAAUUGCUGAACUAUCACAUGUGGCAAUAAUACAUAGUUUGAACCUUCAGCAAUACCAAAGAAAGGAAAGUUGAUAAAGAUAACUUAAGUCCCUGAAGAGUGGUCUAAUUUUUCACUCUGGAAAAUCAAUAGAAAAACUUUAUAAAGAGUAGAAUAAACAGAUACUGGAUAAUACAUUGCAGAAAGGAACAGGCAAUAUGGAUGUUAUCAAGGCAGUUACAUCUCACAGAGCUGUUGGAGUCCUUUGUAUGUAAUAUAUGUGGAUCCAUGUAGUAUAUGUGAACUUUCUAAAAGCUUUCAGCAAGAUCAUUAGCCAGAGGUCUUAAAAAACCUAAAAACUCCUAAAACCCUCUCCAAAGAGGAAAGAAGCCCCUUUGGGGCAAAUAACUGCUAAAAGAUAGAGAAUGAAAACUUUUAGCGUUAGAAUGAGGUUACUAAUGGAGCCCCAUGAGAGAUGAAUUACUGCAGGCUGUACUGUUAAACACACCCAUACACAAAUAGAGAGGUGAUGAAGUCUGAAGGUGAUUUGAAAUUACUCAGGGGAAAAAUGACAGUAAGAAGCUGGAGUGUGAUAUCACACUAUUGGGCAACAGGGGAAUAAAAUUACAGAUGAAAAGUAAUGUAAAUACUGCACAGGGGAAAGGGGUGGGGGCGGCUACCAGCAAUCGCUUCAGACAUGGCUUGUUUUUUAUACUUUUUCCCAAAGUACCUGUAGAUAGCUUCUGUUGGCCAGACAACAGAUGGAUGAAUUUUCAGUCUGAACAAAUGUGGCAUUUUGUUGUGGUUAGAAAUUUUAAUGGAAAAAUCGGGAAGAGAUGCAGAUUUCAUCAGUCCACUUUAAAUGUUUUCUGCUUUCUUACCCUUUCUGUGGUGAUGAAUUUUAUCUUAAAAUGUUUGAAUCAUUACUACUGUAAUACUGACAGAAGACAGACUUAUAGGACAAUACAUAUAAAUUGUGUCAUUCUCACCAUGCAAUCCAGAAAACAGAGGAAACUCAGAUGAGGUUGCAAUGGCAAUAGGAUUUGGGAAUAUAAGCAUGUAUAAAUACUUGAAUGCUUCUGUUUUAUAUAAUGUUUUAUGUAAGACUAAAAAAUCAUGGUUUAAAUCUCUUAAGAGUUCACUUCUGAUCCUGUGAAAUGUUCACUUCUGAUCCUGUAAAACACAGAUAAAAUAUUAUAUUUUGGACCAGAAAUGAAUUUUAAUACUAGCAUGGCUAAAUCUA